rnacentral:lncRNA from 8 species
AAUAAGUUGUAGUUACCCCAUUAAUUCUAUUUUUAUUUGGUGUGAUUUACACCCAUUUCCUCCAUGCAAUAGUACAGGAAACAGAUGCUAGGAAUUGUUCUUUUCCUAAAUUCCUGGGAGAGAGAUUCUGGUCAACACUGAUGUGCGGGCUUGGCUUUGUACUCGCAUGAGAAAGGGUGGUAGACAGUGACUAAAUUGACUCCCUGGUUUCCCUGCUCCGAUGCUCCAUUUCCUCACAGUUUCCACUUGCGUAUGUCCGUUUGCCCAAAGCCAGGUUGGCCAUGCUUUAUGGCAGGCUUCCCUCGCGGAACAACCGCUGCGUUUUCCCAGGACAAGGUCAAGACUCGCCCUCUGCUUCUGCUGCGACAGACAGAAGUAUGAAUAAGAGCCCAAGUCUUCAAGGCCAAUGUCUUUACCUCUUUUGGGGAGAAAAACACCAACAUGACGGAAUAGAUUUGGUGGCAAAAGAUUCUGCAUCUCAACGGUUUAAUUUGAAAGGAAUUGACCAGUUGCAUGAAUGCUCUCCAUCACCUCAAGAUGCAAGCUCCUCCAUGAAGAUUUACUGGAUAGGAAGCUUUUGCUGACGGGGGCUGCUAUUACCACACAUAUAUGGUAAAACAUCAUUUGAGUUCUAAAAUGGUUAUAAAACGUGUAUUAAAUUGUCUUAAGUGCUCGCUUUAAAACCAAAGAGGUUGUCAUUCACUUCUAUUCCAGGAGCUGGUUACGUCAUUAAUUUGUCAGCCAAAAAACAUAAUCUAGUGCAGGACUGGACAGUUGUAAGGCAGGUAGCCUAGAGGUUAGUGCGUUGGGCCAGUAACAGAAAGGUUUCUGGAUCGAAUCCCAGAGCUGACAAGGUACAAAUCUGUCAUUCUGCCCCUGAACAAGGCAGUUAACCCACUGUUCCCCAGUAGGCCUUCAUUGUAAAUAAGAAUUUGUUUAACUGACUUGCCUAGUUAAAUAAAAAAAAGGCAACUGUAAUUUGUUUUUAUGACAGACUAUUUAUCUGCAGGCUUUUAUGCAUUUGGUU